GCGACAAGAUCAAGCGACAGAGAAUCGCUGGACUGUGCAGCAAGAGUGAUAGAAGUAUGUCCGUUAAAAGCAGAAUGCAAGCAGUCCAACAUUCCAAUUGGCUGUGGCGACUGUUGCAAUACCACAUCAUAGCUAAUUUGAAUAAUAAGUAAAACUACAAACUGUCGCUCAAGUCGCGCGAAUUGCCUCUAGUUGCCCGAAUCACUUUUGUUGCGCGACUCAAUGCAAAGUCAAUUACUUCCGUCGCUGGAAUCGCUGAUGUAGUGCUUGGUCUAUUUGUGACGGAUAUGUUGUGGUAGGCUAUUCACCUUCUAUUCUUGCUAUGGUUCAUUCUUCUGUUUCAGCAGCAAAAUGUAACAAGCUUGUCCUGGAGGACUGCUCUGAUGGGGAAUGCUGUGGAGGAGAGACAGGCAGACUGUGGUCCAUCGUGUGUGCUCCCAGUGCGUUAAUACACGGACAGUCCUUUUUAAGUGCAACCAGAGGAAUAAUGUGAUUGAGAGGAAGAGUGGCCCCAUACAUUGCUUGACCUGGAGCCUACCAAAGUCUAAGGUCUCAGGUGUCUCCAGAAGAACACAUUCCAAUGAAGACCCCAGUCAUAGUCAUCAACUUGACAGCUCAGCCUGUUACUUGAACUGUGUUCUUAGAGCCAAGUGUAACUGAGGUGUUUCCACACAGUCUGUCCCCCUUAGAUCUUGAACUUGCCACCACCUAGUCAACGCAUCGGUUCGGGUAUGGGAGGCACAGCACGAUACCGCUGAGCUAAAUGACCAGUCCCAUAGCUCAGCGCUGCUGGUACUGUAUGAGGCUUCGGGAGGGAGGUUUACUAUCCUUCCACGCCACACUCUGCUAGUUGGCCUCCGUUACACAAGCUCGAAUAAUCCAAGCAGCCAAUCCAACUUCUUCAGCACUGCCUUUGAACACUAUGAAGAACCACUCAGAACCACUGGUCCUAGAACUAAAUGACCACAUUAUACUGUUAAAGGUCCACUGUGUAGGAUGGUGAUCAGAGCAGGUAUUGCACCUAUGCUGCUCAUUGCAACUGUGCUACCUAUUGUCCAUUUUGACUUUUGAAUUUUCAAGAAUUUUACCAAGUAUUUACUAGUAUGUACCAAUAUUUACUAGUAUGACCAAAAUACAGUACAUUAUGCAACUAAAUUCAAGAUGGUGGACAAUGGACUCCUUUCAUGUUUUCAUGAAAAGUGUAAUUUUCCCAGUCAUAAUGAAUACUCAGAAUUUGAUGG